rnacentral:rRNA from 1 species
GACGAACGCUGGCGGCGUGCCUAAUACAUGCAAGUCGAACGGUUUAGUUCCAAGAGGCUUGCCUUUUGGAACUAGACAGUGGCGGACGGGUGAGUAACACGUGAGUAACCUGCCCUUGACUUUGGGAUAACUUCAGGAAACUGGGGCUAUACCGGAUAGGAGCUCCUGCUGCCUGGUGGGGGUUGGAAAGUUUCGGCGGUUGGGGAUGGACUCGCGGCUUAUCAGCUUGUUGGUGGGGUAGUGGCUUACCAAGGCUUUGACGGGUAGCCGGCCUGAGAGGGUGACCGGCCACAUUGGGACUGAGAUACGGCCCAGACUCCUACGGGAGGCAGCAGUGGGGAAUAUUGCACAAUGGGCGGAAGCCUGAUGCAGCAACGCCGCGUGCGGGAUGACGGCCUUCGGGUUGUAAACCGCUUUCGCCUGUGACGAAGCGUGAGUGACGGUAAUGGGUAAAGAAGCACCGGCUAACUACGUG